rnacentral:ncRNA from 1 species
CUAAAUUAAGAGUGAUCUAAUUUGGUUAAAGCUUAUUGGGCUUUAGUUGUUAAAUAAAGUAUGGGCUAAAUAUAUGUAGAUACUCUAGUAACUAAUUUCUAAUAAUGGUGGACUGAUUAAAAAUUAGGUUAAUGUGCAAAAGUUAUAUAUGUUAUGGUCUCCAAAUUAUAUAGGCCUUAUGAUCUACCGAUGUCGAGUGGAAGGGUUGUCGCUCAACGGAUAAAAGCUACUCUAGGGAUAUCAAGCUAAUCUUCCCAAGGAGCUCACAUGGUGGAGAAGGUUGGCACUUCGAUGUCGGCUCUUCACCACCUAGGGCUGUAGUAUGUUCCAAGGGUUGGGUUGUUCGCCCAUUAAAGUAGUACGUGAGCUAGGAUCAAAAUGUCGUGAGACAGUUCGGUCUAUAACUGGUGUGGGCGUUAGAGUAUUGAGAGGACCUUUCCUUAGUAUGAGAGGAUCGAGAAAGACGCACCACUGGUCUACCAGUUAUCGUGCCCAUGGUAAACGCUAGGUAGCCAAGUGCAGAGUAACUUUUCUAAUAUCACAUAUUUAGAAAAGAGAGUAUUUAGAAAAGAGAGUCACAUCCUCUGA